UAAAGAUUCCAGAUCUGCCUCCGUCCCACCUCCGUCCCAAGCCCUCCUGCCGCCGUCUUUCAUCAAGGGAGAGUGAACCAUCAAGAUCCAUCUUCUCCUCCUUCACCCCAAAUUUCUCCCUUCAUUUCACGUUCACAUAGAAAAAAGAAAAAAGGAACCACCUUUUCUUUUGAUUCACCUCUCGGAACGGAACACAGUGUCAUGUUCCGCGCGAGCAACAACCCGUGAACGAGUACCGGUCGCUGUCCACGCUGUUCCCCUUUUUAUGGGCCGCCGGAGACGUCGUCGG
rnacentral:lncRNA from 1 species